rnacentral:lncRNA from 1 species
GAGAUUGCUUACCAUCUGGUGGGGUGAGGGGAGGGAGGGAGGGAAUUCAAGGCUCAACAUUCUUUUUAAAAUGUUGGAAACUUUUUUACAUGUAAUUGGGAAAACAUUUUCUAAAAUGCUUAGCAGAGUAUCUGGCACAUAGUAGGUGCUACAUAAGUAUUUAUUCCCUUUUCCUUCUCUUAAGGCUUUCCCAGCUCGGACAUUCUGAGUUCCAAGAUUAAUCCCAGCUCUGACAUUCUGUGUUCUAAGAUCUCUCCCAGCUCUGACAUUCUGUUCUAAGAUCUCUCCCAGCUCUGACAUUCUCUGUUCUAAGGUCUCUCCCAGCUCUGACAGUCUCUGUUCUAAGGUCUCUCCCAGCUCUGACAUUCUCUGUUCUAAGAUCCUUCCCAGCUCUGACAUUCUGUGUUCUAAGGUCUCUCCCAGCUCUGACAUCCUCUAUUCUAAGGUCUCUCCCAGCUCUGACAUUCUCUGUUCUGAGGUCUCUCCCAGCUCUGACAGUCUCUGUUCUAAGGUCUCUCCCAGCUCUGACAUUCUCUGUUCUAAGAUCCUUCCCAGCUCUGACAUUCUGUGUUCUAAGGUCUCUCCCAGCUCUGACAUUCCCUGUUCUAAGCUCUCUCCCAGCUCUGACAUUCUGUGUUCUAAGGUCUCUCCCAGCUCUGACAUUCUCUAUUCUAAGGUCUCUCCCAGCUCUGACAUUCUCUGUUCUAAGGUCUCUCUCUGACAUUCUGUGUUCUAAGGACUCUCCCAGCUCUGACAUUCUCUGUUCUAAGCUCUCUCCCAGCUCUGACAUUCUCUGUUCUAAGGUCUCUCCCAGCUCUGACAGUCUCUGUUCUAAGCUCUCUCCCAGCUCUGACAUUCCCUGUUCUAAGGUCCCUCCUAGCUCUGACAUUCUCUGUUCUAAGCUCUCUCCCAGCUCUGACAUUCUCUGUUCUAAGGUCCCUCCUAGCUCUGACAUUCUGUGUUCUAAGGUCUCUCCCAGCUCUGACAUUCUCUGUUCUAAGAUCCUUCCCAGCUCUGACAUUCUGGGUUCUAAGGUCUCUCCCAGCUCUGACAUUCUCUGUUCUAAGCUCUCUCCCAGCUCUGACAUUCUCUGUUCUAAGGUCUCUCCCAGCUCUGACAUUCUCUGUUCUAAGCUCCCUCCCAGCUCUGACAUUCUCUAUUCUAAGCUCCCUCCCAGCUCUGACAUUCUCUGUUCUAAGCUCUCUCCCAGUACUGACCUUCUCUGUUCUAAGCUCCCUCCCAGCUCUGACAUUCUCUGUUCUAAGCUCUCUCCCAGCUCUGACAUUCAAACCGUAGAGGGUAGAGCCAAGUUGAACUUUGCCUGCCAAUCCCCUGGCAUUACUGAACCAGUGCUGGGAAGUCAGCUCUUUCCAUUGUAGGGGUGGGUAGGUGGGGGAGUUUCGAGGGCCUGGAGAAGGGGACUGGAAGGGAUCCUCUCUCUGCUGGGGUAUCCGGCAAAGCCUGUGGCCCAGUGCUGUCUCUUCCCUCCCUCGGUGGUCCUGGAUACGAUAAGGGGCCCAGGCAGGAGGCACUCUAGCACGUGUCACUGAACCGGGAUGUAGUUCAGCCGCCUCACCUGAGCUGCCAGGUUUGCAUCCCUGGCAGUACUUGCUGCGUGGCAUGCCCCGGCUUAGGUGAACAGGCUCAGGUACAUGCAGCACACACCGGGCCUAGAGCAAGGGGAAAUGCCAAGGCUAUUGAUUCGAUCAGGUUUCGAACGUUGGCAGAGGCAGCUUUGCUUCUUUCUGUCCUGCUGGUCCCCCUGUAGGAAGGAAAUGAAAAAAUCACUGCCAGGUUCCUAGAAGGAAAGACCCCGAAUCUUUGUGAGUUUGGGGUUUGGGGGUCUCUCUUCGGAUCCCCAAUGCUUAACCACGAUUGACACAUGGUAGGCAUUUAAUCAUUGCUCAACAGUUCACGGGUAAUUAGGGAAAAAGAAAAUAUCAUCCUAAAUUGCCUGCCAGAAGUGGUGGCCUGUCACUCCUGCUGCCAGGGAGGCUGAGGCUGGUGGAUUGCCAGUGCUCGGGAGUGCUGACCUGCCUAGGGUUCAAGAAGGGUGUCCACAUUAAAUCUGGCCCUAAUGUGAUGAACCUCCAUGAGAGGCCACCAAAGGAGGGAUGGACCAGCCCAGUUCUGAAAUUUAACCCCACAGUCAGUCAUGGGAUCAGUCCAGUGGCUUCCAGCCUGGACGAGAUAAGGAAAUCCAGACUCAAAAAAACUCAAUGAAAAAACCAAACAAACCAAGCAUAUAAUAAUAAGUUAAGAACCCAAGAAAAAUGCUUGGGAUAGUGAGGGUGGCUCACUGGAUGGUGUGCCCAGGCUGAACAUACCCCCCUGGGCAAGUUGCUUCCCAUUCCUAGGGGCCUUAGUUUCCCUGUUUGU